UACAGAGGUCUCGAGCGUUAGGCGGAAUCACUGGGCUUAAAGGGCGCGUAGGCGGCUCGCGAGGUCGGGGGUGAAAUCCCGCAGCUUAACUGCGGAAGGGCCUCCGAUACCGGCGGGCUGGAGGAAGGUAGGGGUGCGCGGAACUUCUGGUGGAGCGGUGAAAUGCGUUGAUAUCAGAAGGAACGCCGGCGGCGAAAGCGGCGCACUGGACCUUUUCUGACGCUGAGGCGCGAAAGCUAGGGGAGCAAACGGG
rnacentral:rRNA from 1 species